UCCAUCUAUCCAUCUGUCCAUCCUCCCAAUAAAUAUAUAUGGAGAGCCUGAGUGCUAUGCCCCCACCUCAGCCAGCUCUGGGCUAAACACUGGGUUAUUCCUCACAUGACCCUAAUUCUGAUGCUGUGCUUUUCUCAGCUUAGAGAGUUCACGCUGUUAUGCCAAACAGAUCUGGGUUUGAAGUCUCAUCUCUGCUCUCUUUUAGCUGUGCAAUUUGGGAUAAAUGAUUUUGCUGCUCUAUGACGAUCAGACAGAACGUACCUGGUUUUAAAGACUAGAACAAAGAAUGUGCCCAGAGAUAGUGGAAUCGCGUUGAUUCGGGCAGCUGGAAGGAUGAAAAGGACGAGCAUCGGAGAAAUGAGAAAGGAUGCUGCUGCAGGUCCGGUCACUCAAGUAGGCUAACACCUCCUCCCCAAAUCCCAGGCU